AUGAGACGGGCUCUUAUUUAUGAAUUCAUGCCUAACGAGUCACUAGAAAAAUACAUAUUCGCACAUAUUUCUGAUAUUUCUCGACAACUCCUAGCACCCAACAAAAUGGUAGAUAUUGCUUUAGGCAUUGCCCGAGGAAUGGAAUACCUGCAUCAAGGCUGCAACCAGCGGAUUCUCCAUUUUGACAUCAAACCACACAACAUCUUGCUGGACUACAACUUCAACCCGAAGAUAUCAGACUUUGGCCUUGCAAAGCUGUGUGCAAGGGACCAGAGCAUUGCACCUUGA
rnacentral:rRNA from 1 species